AUGGCGGCGCGUCCACACGCAGCGGCUUCUCUCUGUCCCGACAGAACGGUGUUUUCGUGUUUUUUGUCUUGUGAGUCGCAGUGUUUUUGUACGUCGUCAUCGCGUCUAUCUGUCUUUAAGCGCGCAUACAGUCGUGAGUUUCUGCUGGACGUCGGCAGAGCCGCAUUUUUAGAGUUAAACUCCGCGCACGCGGAACAGCUGCGAGAUCUCGGACUACUCCGGAGGCCUACAUCAUCACCGACCCCCACUACUGCAUCUCGCCCACAGCGGAGGCGCCACAAGCGGCGUGAGAGGAAGCAGAAGAGGGGUAAGCGCGGAGGUAUCCGGGCUAGGCUAACGGCUAACCCACACAAGCCAUCUAUCCCCACCAUCGUACUGGCUAACGUACGCUCUUUGGACAAUAAACUGGACUACAUCCGAUACCAGCACAUCAGUGAGCAGCAGACAGCACACCCCGAUGCUUUUCUCAUCAUAGCUGGGGAUUUCAACCAUGCUGACUUAAAGAGUGUGUUUCCAAAAAUACACCAACACAUUAACUUUCCAACACGAGGUAAUAACAUUUUAGACUUUGUUUACACCACACAGAGAGGAGCUUACAAAGCCCUCCCCCUCCCCCACCUCGGUGCCUCAGACCACAUCACUGUCAUGCUAAUGCCUGCAUACAGACCGCUCGUUAAAGUCGCUAAACCAGUUCAGAAACAGAUUCAAGUGUGGCCAGAAGGAUCGUCUGAGGCUCUUCAGGACUGCUUUGAUACAACUGACUGGAAUAUGUUUAAGCAGGCUGCCACUUACAAUAACUCCACUGACCUCCAGGAGUACUCGGAGACUGUCACUGCCUACAUCACCAAGUGUAUUGAGGAUGUAACAGUCACAAAAACCAUCACUGUCCGGGCCAACCAGAAGCCGUGGAUGACAGGGGAAGUCUACAGACUCCUGGAGACGCGGAACGCUGCCUUCAGAGCGGGAGAUAGGAUAGCCCAUCAAUUCAGUGACAGCAGAGACACUCGGAGCCUGUGGCAGGGGAUACAGACCAUUACGGACUACAAGCCCCCACAGCAGACCUGUGACAGCAACAUCUCUCUGCUGAACGAGCUGAACACCUUCUUCGCUCGCUUUGAGGCACAAAACAGCUCCACUGCACAGAAGACUCCACCUCCUUCCAGUGACCAGGUGAUGAUGCUGACCCCGGACAGCGUGAGGAGAUCCACUUCGCUGUGCAACUGGCUGUUGAACUUUCUGACUGGAAGACCUCAGGCAGUACGUGUCGGCAGCAACACAUCCAGCACCAUCACACUGAACACUGGGGCCCCCCAAGGAUGUGUGCUGAGCCCCCUCCUCUUCACUCUGCUGACCCACGACUGCACACCGUCACACAACUCCAACCUCUUCAUUAAGUUUGCGGAUGACACGACUGUGGUGGGUCUCAUUAGCAACAGAGAUGAGACAAGCUACAGGAGCGAGGUGAGCCGCCUGGCCGGGUGGUGCAGUGACAACAAUCUCUCUCUGAACGUGGACAGUGCUGUGCACAUUGUUGUUGACUUCAGGAGAGCGCACACACAGCAUGUUCCUUACACAGCAAUAAAGGAUGCAUAUCAUUCUGUUCCACAGGGAGCUUUGGGGCGCUCUGAUCACUGUUUGGUUCAUCUUAUACUGACCUACAGGCAGAAACUAAAAUCAGCUAAACCUGUAUCCUUGCCAGCCCGCUCAGAGAUGUGUAUAAGAGACAGAACCGUGACUAUGACGCCAUCGCAACUGCCCUCCACUCAGCACUCACACAUCUAG
rnacentral:lncRNA from 1 species